rnacentral:ncRNA from 1 species
GUAUAUGUCAGUUCUACAUGAAACCGCGAAUGGCAUGAAAUGGCGUGAAACCGUGAAUGGCUCAUUAAAUCAGCUACAUGUAUGGUUCCUUAGAUUGUCUCAUCCUACUCGGAUAACUGUGGAACAUCUAGAGCUAUUACGUGCUUACAAGCCCUGACCUCACGGGAGGGGCGCAUUUAUUAGAUCAAAACCAAAUCGGGGCUUGCCGCGUCUGCGUGGUGACUCUGGAUAACUUUUGUGCUGAUCGUAUGGCCUCUGCGCGGCGAAGUAUCUUUCAAGUGUCUGCCCUAUCAACUUACGAUGGUUUUAGGUGAUUUGCCUACCAUGGUUAUAACGGGUAACGGAGAAUCAGGGUUCCAUUCCGGAGAGGGAGCCUGAAAAACGGCGUGCACUUUAGCAGC